CACACUCUGUCUCUCUCUCUCUCAAAAAUAAAUAAACAUGAAAUAAAAAAAUUUAAGUACUUUUAUGAGUCUUGAUCCAGAUUAUCAAAUUAUUCAUAAACUAUUAGGAAUUAUGCUAUCGCCAAUGUAUGAGGAUGGCAAUUUAAUUAUGUAUUUGUGAGUAACAUGCAAUAUUAGGAAAAAAAUUGGAGGCAGUAAUUUAUGAGCACACAAUCCUAUGAAGCAAACUGGAUAAACUAUCUACCAAUUUGAAAUCGACCUUUGUGCGUUUGCCAAGAACUAGAGUGGCUCCCAAAGUCCUACUAUUAGGGGUUUACUAUACCCUCUAUAUGGGGUCUAUGCUGGCCCCUGGGAAGCCCCAGGACAUUUUUCUUUGGUGUAAGGAAGGAGGCAGUCAUCACAGCAAUGAGUCUUACUCAUUUUGGAAUAGUGCUGCACGUUACAAAGCAUUUCUGCAUUCUCUCCUUUGGUCCUCACCACAAUCCUUCUUUCAUCUUAACCAUGAGAACUUUAAAGCUCAAAAGAAUUUUCAGGUAGACUUCAGCCACUCAGAGGAAAACAAAGUUGGAAGAACUCAGGUCUUCCACUUCCAAGGGCAAUGCUGCUUCUAUAUCAACAGGUUGGAGGGGAGCCAAGGCAGACAGGAGGUGCUUAGGCAGAUGCUGAAUCAAUGACAUGUGCGCUGAUGGGUCAGAGCACAGUGGCAGCUCCAGGGUCAGCCUGACCCAGAGGUGAACCUUGUCUUCCCUACUUACAGUCUAAGUGACCCUCUGCCUCUGCAAGUUUCCUGUUCCCUUUCUCUGGGCCCCAGGGACACUCAUUUCACAGGGAUGGACAGGAGAGAGUAAGAGUUCUCUAAGGGUCUUUCAAUUUUUUUUUAAAUGUUUAUUUUUGAGAAAGAGAGAGAGACAGAGAGACAGAGAAAGAGAGAGAGAGAGAGAGAGAGAGAGAGAGAGCGAGCAAUUGAAGGCUGGUUGAGUGGGAGUUAAUGUUUCCUUGGUGGAAAACAUUUAGUGAAAUUACCAAAUAAGUUUCCAUUAAGAACGUUAGUUGAGGUCACAGGUUGUCACCACAAAUGCUCAAAGGGGCAGGCAGGUCACAUAAAGGAAGGAGGCAGAACGGUGUGACAUGAAAUAGUGACAGACCUUGUAGGUCAGGUAAACCGCAAGGAGAGGGGGAUGGCAGCUACCUCGGGUGUUCAGACCUACUGCAAGGGCAGAAAACGGGUUCAAAGAUGCCAGAGCUUCUGAUUUGUUCAAUAGGAAGUGCAGCAGAAGCCUGCUUCUGAAGACGAGCGUUGUGAUGGCACAUUUGUAGGCAUCGUGUCAACAGCCAGCUUAGGGUCUCUGGUUUAGAUAAGACUCUAUUCGUAAUUUAAAAUUCCAGGAACACUAACCCUGGAUUCUGACUGCUAAAAGGUAUAAAAACCAAAGCAAUCACAAAACAAAACAAAACCCCACAAAAUACAAACUCAUUAAUCAAUACUCAAAAAACUUACUCUGAACCAAGAGCUUUUGACUUAAAGUGACAAAAGUUUGCAACAAAAACCAAGGAUCCCUUUUCAUGCUAUAGAGAUUAAACAGUCUUUUCUACCUCAGAGAUGGGUUUGUAUGUAUAUGUUCGGAUGUGUGUGAGGGGGCAUUUCCUUCCUCUUUCUAAAUGUGCUUAAAGUUAGCUCUAAUUGAACAUAACUAUUAACUUAAAUUUAUUUUACAUUAUAGAUUUGCCACUGAGGCUUAAGCUUCAGUCACAUGUAUAAUAAGAUGCCGCCCCAAUUCAUCUAGAAGUUCUCAACUGUUAAUUAUCUCAAUUCCUAAAUGCCAAGGAUUAUAGCAUACAAUCACUGAAAGUUAUUACCUUUGGCCACAUACCAUAAGGCUGAAGAUUACUGUGUGCUUACUUGAUCUGCAACAGUUAAUUUCUAUAACUCAUCAUGUGACUCAUACUUUUUUAUUUUCUCUCUUACUCAGGGGCUGAUUAUCCAAUUUAUUGAUUAUCUAUGUACUGAUUGAUUAGCUUCCCUAAUUACUGCUUUUUAACCAGUUCCUGUUCAUUAGCACCUUUCCCCAAAGGACUGGAAAAAGAAAUAACACCUAAAACUUGGAUCUGCAAAUGGUUCAGAUGUUUUUCAUUGGCAAUUUAAAUCGCCGGGUCAACAUAUUAGAAUGAAAGACAAAAACCAGAUCCUAAAACAAUUCUUAAUAAUCAUGUUUCCUUCUAAAACCACAUACAAGCAGAGGAGGCCUGGAUUAUAGAAAGAAGCUUCUAGGAAGAGAGAAGCCAGGGAACC